GACGAACGCUGGCGGCGUGCCUCAUACAUGCAAGUCGAGCGGAUGUAGUAAUACAUCAGCGGCGGACGGGUGAGUAACACGUGGGCAACCUGGCCUUAAGAGGGGGAUAACGUCCCGAAAGGGACGCUAAUACCGCGUAAAUCAACGAGAUCGCAUGAUUUUGUUGGAAAAGGAGUAAUCCGCUUAAGGAUGGGCCCGCGGCCUAUUAGCUAGUUGGUAGGGUAACGGCCUACCAAGGCGACGAUAGGUAGCCGACCUGAGAGGGUGAACGGCCACACUGGAACUGAGAAACGGUCCAGACUCCUACGGGAGGCAGCAGUAGGGAAUAUUCCGCAAUGGGCGAAAGCCUGACGGAGCAACGCCGCGUGAGUGAAGAAGGUUUUCGGAUCGUAAAGCUCUGUCAACAGGGACGAAACAAGACGGUACCUGAGAAGGAAGCCACGGCAAACUACGUG
rnacentral:rRNA from 1 species